GCCCUCAUGGUCAAGCGGUUCAAGACGUCGCCCUCUCACGGCGGAAACUAGGGUUCGAUUCCCUAUGGGGGUA
rnacentral:tRNA from 1 species